UGCGUGUCUCUAUGUAUCAUGUAUAUGUUUAAACAUUAUUAUAGUAUAAAUUUGUACAGAAGGUCUGAAAAAAGUGGAGUCACUUUCAGUCUUUUGACUCUUUUCUCCAAUCUUAACAUAUGUUCAACAAUGAGCCGCUCAAGUAGAACUCUCUAUGUUGGCAACCUUCCUGGUGAUGUCCGUGAGCGGGAAGUAGAGGAUCUGUUUUACAAGUACGGACCGAUAGCUCAUAUUGAUUUGAAAAUCCCUCCUAGGCCCCCUGGCUAUGCAUUUGUUGAGUUUGAAGAGGCUCCUGAUGCUGAAGAUGCUAUUCGUGGCCGUGACGGCUAUGAUUUUGAUGGGCACAGAUUACGGGUGGAGCUUGCACAUGGUGGGCGUCGAAACUCAUCAUCAGUAGAUCGUUACAGUAGUAGUUAUAGUAGUGGUCGAGGUGGCCGUGGUGGGUUGUCCAGGCGGUCUGAAUAUCGUGUGAUAGUCUCUGGAUUGCCUUCUUCAGCUUCAUGGCAAGACCUUAAGGAUCACAUGCGUCGAGCUGGUGAUGUCUGUUUCUCUGAAGUUUUUCGUGAGGGAAGUGGCAUGACGGGGAUUGUGGACUACACAAACUAUGAUGACAUGAAAUAUGCAAUCAGGAAACUUGAUGCUUCUGAAUUUCGGAAUGCUUUUGGCCGGGCUAGAAUUCGUGUGAAGGAGUAUGAUUCAAGCCGAAGUCGGAGCUAUUCAAGGAGUCGCAGUCGUAGUAGUUCCUAUUCAAGAGGCAGGAGCUAUAGUCGCAGUCGCAGUCGAAGCUAUAGUCGAAGCAGGAGCAGGAGCAAGUCUCCAAAAGCCAAAUCUUUGCGCCGUUCACCUGCUAGAAAUCGUUCAAGGUCUGCCUCUCGUUCCCGCUCCGGGUCGAGGCCGCGCUCUUUGUCAAGAUAUGGAUAUGUGCAGCGAUCUGGGGAUUGCAUAUUAGGAUCUUGAUGGGAUAUGGUUCAAAUGUCUGCAACUCUUUUGGUUGUGGAGGUAUGGUGUUUUCUAGAUGGGCAGCUUUGGAAACCUUUGUGGUUCUGUGUUUGUACAUUAAGCGUCGCAAAUGUCCAUGGGUGCUAGAUUGGGGACAAAGAAGAUCAUGGAUUGCGAUGGUAAGCUGGGCUGUGAACAAAGUGCUAUUGGAAUAUGGGAACCACCUUCAAUUUGCGGUGUUAAUUACCAUUGCUUUUGUAACAGUGCCAAGCUACGAGGACAUGCUCUCUGGAUUUUCUGGUGUUUUUAUUUGGUAUCCUGUCCACUGGUGUCUUGAAUGGCAUUAUAAAGCUUUUAUUAAGAUUUUCAUCUUUAACUAUAGGUUCAUAUAUUUAGUAAGGAUUGUAUUGGUUCAUGUAUUUCUCUCUGUUGGGCUGCUAAAAUAUUUAUUGGUUUUCUUUUACCCGUUUUGAUCGUGGUAACUCUAACGUGGAAGAGGCAUCACGGCUCUUGAAUCAAAGUUCUUGAAAGGAACGUGUGGAUUUUAAAUUGGGUUGUUUCUGGAACUUUUGCAGAUCUCCAUCAAGAUCCAGAUCUCCAGUACCAUCUCAAGUGAAGCAUGCAAGUAAAAGCCCAAAAAAGCACAGUUCUAGCAGGAACAAGAGCUUUAGCAGGAGCCGGAGCAAGAGUAUAUCCAGGUGAGAUAUGAUCGAGAUUGAUACAUGGACGUCAGAGGCUGUGUACAAGGAUGAAGUUUGCCUGAUAAUUAAGUUACUUUUGUGGGUUAGAAUCGGAACAUCUAUUAUUAUUAUUAUAAUAUAAGAUCAUCUAGAUUGAAGAGUGGAUGGAAUGAGUCGAUUCGUACUAUCAUUUGGACUAAUUUUUGAAUUCCUUGUAGAAUUAGAACGUAUCGUCUUCCAAAUGCACCGAAUGUUAAAUUUCUGAGCUUGACACUA